GACGAACCGAGCGAACGUUAUUCGGAAUCACUGGGCUUAAAGGGCGCGUAGGCGGGCCGUCAAGUCAGGGGUGAAAGCCUCCAGCUCAACUGGAGAAGUGCCUCUGAUACUGGCGGCCUCGAGGGAGGUAGGGGCGUGCGGAACUUCCGGUGGAGCGGUGAAAUGCGUAGAUAUCGGAAGGAACACCGGUGGCGAAAGCGGCGCGCUGGACCUCUUCUGACGCUGAGGCGCGAAAGCCAGGGGAGCAAACGGG
rnacentral:rRNA from 1 species